rnacentral:rRNA from 1 species
GUAAGGAAUAUUGGUCAAUGGACGCAAGUCUGAACCAGCCAUGCCGCGUGAAGGAUGAAGGUCCUCUGGAUUGUAAACUUCUUUUAUCUGGGACGAAAACGGGAUUUUUAUCUCAAUUGACGGUACCAGAGGAAUAAGCACCGGCUAACUCCGUGCCAGCAGCCGCGGUAAUACGGAGGGUGCGAGCGUUAUCCGGAUUUACUGGGUUUAAAGGGUGCGUAGGUGGGCUUAUAAGUCAGUGGUGAAAUCUCCGAGCUUAACUUGGAAACUGCCGUUGAUACUAUAGGUCUUGAAUUAUCUGGAGGUAAGCGGAAUAUGUCAUGUAGCGGUGAAAUGCUUAGAUAUGACAUAGAACACCAAUUGCGAAGGCAGCUUACUACAUAUA